GAUCAGAUUGCAUCGGCAUCUCUACUCUGCAGCCGCUGCCUCUGCCGCCUCUUUCAUCCGCUGUCCGUGCGACGGCAAGAGAGUGUUGACAGCGGCUGCGAAGUAGAGAUGCCGACUUGAUCUGAGC
rnacentral:pre_miRNA from 1 species